rnacentral:rRNA from 1 species
CCCACGGCGAAUGGUUACUCAAGUCUUCAAAAAAGAAUAUAUACGAUUGCGAUUGCAAAAUAUAACGGAUGCGAUCAUACCAGCACUAAUGCACCAGAUCCCAUCAGAACUCCGCAGUUAAGCGUGCUUGGGCGAGAGUAGUACAAGGAUGGGUGACCUCCCGGGAAGUCCUCGUGUUGCAUCCCUCUUUUAUGUUUAACCUUUU